AUACGUAGGUGGCAAAUGUUGUCCGGAAUCAUUGGGCGUAAAGGGUCCGUAGGUGGCUUGAAAAGUCUUAUGUGAAAUCUCUUGGCUCAACCAAGAAAAGCCAUAAGAAACUUUCAUGCUAGAGAUCAUCAGAGGGAGGUAGAAUUUCAGGUGUAGUGGUGAAAUGCGUAGAUAUCUGAAGGAAUACCAAUGGCGAAAGCAGCCUCCUGGGGUGAAUCUGACAUUGAGGGACGAAAGCGUGGGUAGCAAACCGGAUUAGAUACCCGGGUAGUCCAUGCCGUAAACGAUGAAUACUGGGUCUUCGGGGGAUUCGACCCCCUGUGGACCGAAGCUAACGCGUUAAGUAUUCCGCCUGGGGAGUACGGUCGCAAGACUAAAACUCAAAGGAUUGACGGGGCCCGCGACAAGCAGCGGAGCGUGUGGUUUAAUUCGAUGGUAAACGAAGAACCUUACCUAGGUUUGACAUAUAAGUGGUACUGACCCGAAAGGUGAUGGACCCGCAAGGGAGCGUUAUACAGGUGCUGCAUGGUUGUC
rnacentral:rRNA from 1 species